AACGCUGUUAAAUGAUUCCGUUAC
rnacentral:siRNA from 1 species